UACGUAGGGACCGAGCGUUGUCCGGAAUCAUUGGGCGUAAAGCGCGUGUAGGCGGUCCGGUAAGUCCGCUGUGAAAGUCGGGGGCUCAACCCUCGGAUGCCGGUGGAUACUGUCGGGCUUGAGUACGGAAGAGGCGAGUGGAAUUCCUGGUGUAGCGGUGAAAUGCGCAGAUAUCAGGAGGAACACCAAUUGCGAAGGCAGCUCGCUGGGACGUUACUGACGCUGAGAGACGAAAGCUAGGGGAGCGAAUGGG
rnacentral:rRNA from 1 species